CAUCACCAUGUCAAAGGUUAUUUUGGGCUUUCUAGAUGGGUGCCUGGGUGAACCAAACAGAAUGACUUCCUGCCCUGGUUUGGCUUCCCAACUUGCCCCUGAAGCAGUGGGAAUAAAGAGGAACCCCUGGAAUAAUAAGAAAAUGGUUGAAUGUACAGUCUUAUUUUGUAUCUUUCUCAAACAUUAAUGUCAAAGUGAGUCCCCGGUGUGGAUGUAUGUGGCACUGAGUGAACGCCGCUGUCCUCAUAACGUCUGUCUUCUUCAGGACCCAACCCAGCGAAUGCCAAAGACAAAUGGUGGAAGUGGAGAAAGGUGAUGACCACACCUCACUGGUUCGACUAUCCCGACAGCGAUGCCAAGAAAAUUAACAACGUGUACAAAUACAUCGGGGAGCUGCCGCCCGUCAAGAUAGACUAUAACUGGGUCAAGUACGUCAAGUACAGCACGUUCAUCGCAUUGAUGAUCACCCUGGCUAUCAUGAUGAACAACGCCCUUUGGACCGUGCGUCAAUAUAUUUGAGUCCCAGUGCAGAGCGGGGAAGACACAAGCUAAAUGAGAACUGCAACUGGAUCUGGAACCAACUGAGGGUCAGUAUAAUCAGCGGUGCCUUCA